rnacentral:rRNA from 1 species
ACAGCAGCAGCCGCGGUAACACGUAGGGUGCAAGCGUUAAUCGGAAUUACUGGGCGUAAAGCGUGCGCAGGCGGUUAUAUAAGACAGAUGUGAAAUCCCCGGGCUCAACCUGGGAACUGCAUUUGUGACUGUAUAGCUAGAGUACGGCAGAGGGGGAUGGAAUUCCGCGUGUAGCAGUGAAAUGCGUAGAUAUGCGGAGGAACACCGAUGGCGAAGGCAAUCCCCUGGGCCUGUACUGACGCUCAUGCACGAAAGCGUGGGGAGCAAACAGGAUUAGAUACCCCUGUAGUCCCUGUCUCUUAUAC